rnacentral:lncRNA from 1 species
AAUUCACUUGCAACUCAUCACGACCACGACCACGACCACGAAGAAAAAGUGCAGCGUGAGACUGCAAGCCCGUCUGAAUUGAAGCCAUGUUGGUUUCAGGAGAAGCCCGAUUUAAACAAGAAGCCCGAGCCCGAAGACCCAGAACUGGAUUACUGGUAAUAUUUAGUUACAAUAUUAUUACUGAUAAUAAUAGUAGUAACUAUGCUAGUGUAAUUUUUUUUUUUUUUGUUUUGGGGAAGAGGGGGUGCAUUGGUAAGAAUACAAGCGCCGCUCCAGAUUGUCUUUAUUCCUAGCUGGUAGCCUAGGAUUGUUAUAUUCUCAAAAGUAUCACCUCUUUAUUUUAUUUUUUACUUCUUUUUAAGAAAUUCUUGAGCUCAAACAGUUUUGAUGUUGUAAUAUGUAAAGGUGAUUUGUGUUAAUAUUUUGUCUUUCGCAAUUCAAAUUGUUCUUUGGUUGGGGCCUUGGUGGUGGUGGUGUUUGGAUAGCAAAUGGUAUUAUAUGCGUAUUGGUGAUGUUAAAGACUUAGCCAAUUGUUUAUUGUAGAGAAAUGAUGAAUGAUGAUUGAGGAGUGAGGAGAGCGUGUGUGGCGGCGACAGAAAAGGAGAAUGGGGUGUUAAAUUGUUACUACUUGUAGUCAAG